AUUGAACGCUGGCGGCAGGCCUAACACAUGCAAGUCGAACGAGUGGCGGACGGGUGAGUAAUGUCUGGGAAACUGCCCGAUGGAGGGGGAUAACUACUGGAAACGGUAGCUAAUACCGCAUACCAUCGGAUGUGCCCAGAUGGGAUUAGCUAGUAGGUGGGGUAACGGCUCACCUAGGCGACGAUCCCUAGCUGGUCUGAGAGGAUGACCAGCCACACUAGAACUGAGAAGCGGUCCAGACUCCUACGUGAGGCAGCAGUGGGGAAUAUGGCACAAUGGGCGCAAGCCUGGUGCAGCCAUGCCACGUGUAUGAAGAGGGCCUUCGGGUUGUAAAGUACUUUCAGCGAGGAGGCGUUACUCGCAGAAGAAGCACCGGCUAACUCCGUGCCAGCCGCCGCGGUAAUUC
rnacentral:rRNA from 1 species